rnacentral:rRNA from 1 species
UACGUAGGGGCCUAGCGUUGUCCGGAUUUAUUGGGCGUAAAGAGCUCGUAGGCGGUCUGUUGCGUCCGCUGUGAAAACUCGGGGCUUAACCCCGAGCCUGCAGUGGAUACGGGCAGACUAGAGGUAGGUAGGGGAGAGUGGAAUUCCCGGUGUAGCGGUGAAAUGCGCAGAUAUCGGGAGGAACACCGGUGGCGAAGGCGGUUCUCUGGGCCUUACCUGACGCUGAGGAGCGAAAGCGUGGGGAGCGAACAGG